GAUGAACGCUAGCGGCAGGCUUAAUACAUGCAAGUCGAACGGCAAGGACUUUCGGGUCCCUAGAGUGGCGCACGGGUGAGUAACACGUACACAACAUACCCUAUAUUGGAGGAUAGCCUUGGGAAACUGGGGGUAAUAUUCCAUAGUAUUUAUUGGAGGCAUCUCUGAUAAAUUAAAGAGCAAUCGAUAUAGGAUUGGUGUGCGUCCCAUUAGCUAGUUGGUAGGGUAACGGCCUACCAAGGCUACGAUGGGUAGCUGGCGUGAGAGCGCGACCAGCCACACUGGAACUGAGACACGGUCCAGACUCCUACGGGGAGGCAGCAGUAGGGAAUAUUGGACAAUGGAGGCAACUCUGAUCCAGCCAUGCCGCGUGGAGGGAUGACUGCCCUCUGGGUUGUAAACUCCUUUUGUACAGGAAGAAACCUACCUCAUUUAUGAGUGAGCUGACGGUACUGUAAGAAUAAGCACGGCUAACUCCGUGCCAGCAGCCGCGGU
rnacentral:rRNA from 1 species